AACUGAAUAUCGGAUCACGGUGCCCGCAAGGGCUUGAUAGGGAAGAGGGGUGCCGCUCAAACCGAGCCAUUCCCCCGCGGACCCGCCGCUGUAAGCGAGGACGAAGGGCAUUAUGUCACUGGUCGAAAGACCGGGAAGGCGCCCGGAGGAUGAAUCGCGAGCCAGAAGACCUGCCAUGAUCUUAGCACUCAA
rnacentral:ncRNA from 2 species